AUUGAACGCUGGCGGCAUGCCUUACACAUGCAAGUCGAACGGUAACAGGUCUUCGGAUGCUGACGAGUGGCGAACGGGUGAGUAAUACAUCGGAACGUGCCCAGACGUGGGGGAUAACGAGGCGAAAGCUUUGCUAAUACCGCAUACGAUCUAAGGAUGAAAGCAGGGGACCGCAAGGCCUUGCGCGUUUGGAGCGGCCGGUGGCAGAUUAGGUAGUUGGUGGGAUAAAAGCUUACCAAGCCGACGAUCUGUAGCUGGUCUGAGAGGACGACCAGCCACACUGGGACUGAGACACGGCCCAGACUCCUACGGGAGGCAGCAGUGGGGAAUUUUGGACAAUGGGCGAAAGCCUGAUCCAGUAAUGCCGCGUGCAGGAUGAAGGCCUUCGGGUUGUAAACUGCUUUUGUACGGAACGAAAAGGCUCUGGCUAAUACCUGGGGCACAUGACGGUACCGUAAGAAUAAGCACCGGCUAACUACGUGCCAGCAGCCGCAGUAAUAC
rnacentral:rRNA from 1 species